CACUGCCUGCAACUGAAAUUAAUCCAUAAGUACAUUGUGUGGAAAUUACCUAAAAUCUAUUUAUAUUAUCAAUGUUUUUCAAUGUUACAUUUCAUGCUACACUUAUUACAGCUAUUCUAAAUCUACUUGUCUUAUCUGCAACAGUCUGCCAACCAGAGUGGUUGAAGAAGAGGAUUUUACUGUAUAUAGAUCUUUCUUCUUGGAGUCACUAGCUCACAUGGACUUCAGAAGGGGAAGUUUUGCCUUCUUCAUCACUCAUCUAAAGAGGGAUCUGYCCAGCCUAAAAAAGUUUUCUUGGUGUAUUUAUAUUGAAUGUAAACUGGCGGAAGUAUGAAUACAGCUUCAGCAGUGCUUGAAAUGAAAACAAUUUGUGGAGAAGGAAGAGAUUUUCUUUGCUGUUACACAUUCUUGAAUUGCACUUCAGUGAUCAGCAACAGAUACAGUGAACAUGAUGUCGAAGUGCUUGCAAGGAAACAUCUUAGACAGCUAUAAAAA
rnacentral:lncRNA from 1 species